CCGGAUUCGGAAUUUAAUAUGAGUUAUGAAGACUGACCUCUGCGGCUUCGGUUUCAUAAUAACCCGGACGAACGGAAUUAUAUUAUUACAGUUGUGUUUCGACCUCUUCAAGAGAGCAGCGAUCGAUCUAUUCAAAUAUGGGACCUUUUUGAUUAUCCGGAAACUUUAUGUAUUGGAUCAGUGAAGCCGUGAAAUGCUACUGCAGCUUACGCUUUAAUAAAGCUUCCACUUCCUCUGGAAGAUAACCAGACAUUUCUGCAUAGCUGAGAAGUUUUCUUAAAUCUACAAAUAGAAAAUAAAAGGAAUGUCUUACGCCAUUAAGAAAAUGUUUUUACAUGGAACACAGGAUCAGUCAGGAACAUUAGCAUUGUAUUAAAUCUUCCAACAGAAGCAAGGUGCAUCAUAUAUGGCACAAUAUCAUCACCAUUGCUGAAAAAAAGUUGUACAAAUUAAUCAACAAAGUUAUAUUAACUAAUCUUAAUAUUAUGUAUUAAAAUUUAUAAAGGUACUAGUAACAAAACAUAAAAAUGAUUUUAAUCAAUAUCAGAAUAAAUAUAAAAGCUAUGCAAAAUUUUAAUCAAAAAUUUAUUCAGGCAAGAUGAUGAACAUUCAAAUUGAACAAUUUUCCCACAUGGCCCCUGGCUUAGUCAGGAUAUUUCUUACAUAUUUCCUUUAAUCAUCAUUAAAAUAAAUUUUUAAAAAUUAUCAGCAGACAUGUAAUGUCAUAUGAGCAUAAAAUAAGAAUUAAGUUAGAUAUUACAAUCUUUUUUUUAUCAUUAUUUUGCCUUAUAAAAACAAUGACAAAUCAUUGUUUAUUUGCAAUACUGAAAUAAGGAAUAUAAGUUUUAAAAUACAAUAAUUAUAUGUUUUUGAAGAUGAAAUAAUAGUCAAAGAUAAUUUUUUUGAAUCAAAGCAGAAAAUUUGCAACAAGUACUUUUUAAGCUUGAUUCUCAUUGCGUGCCACUUUUAACCCUUCCAAUUAAUUUCUUAAUAUUUCUAUUAAUCUACAUGCUUUCCCAAAUACUUAAAUACAUGCUGCAGAUACUAUACAUACUAUAAUACAAGUUGUAGAUCUUUGGUUUCCCUUUCUCUACCUGAUUUUUGUAUGCCAUUUUAUUAAAUACUAUCCACCUUUGGUUAAUUAAUGGUUUUCUCAUUAAAGCAAUUUUAAAAAUUUGACAUUGAUGUACUAAUUUUUUCAUGAAUGUGGAUCUUGAUAUAUUUGUAAUAGAAAAGAUUUAAAUUAAGUGAUAAGUGUUUUGCAUAUACAAUAUUUUAAUAAACAUGAAAAAAAAAUUCAGAUUUUUUUUUUCUAUUUAUAAUAAUAUAAUAAUGAAAGUUGCUUAAAAACAUAGUUAUAGCUUAAUGAUGGCAUAUGAUAUAUCCAAAAGCUG